AGUGAACGCUGGCGGUAGGCCUAACACAUGCAAGUCGAACGGUAGCACAGUAAGAGCUUGCUCUUACGGGUGGCGAGUGGCGGACGGGUGAGGAAUACAUCGGAAUCUACUUUUUCGUGGGGGAUAACGUAGGGAAACUUACGCUAAUACCGCAUACGACCUACGGGUGAAAGCAGGGGAUCUUCGGACCUUGCGCGAUUGAAUGAGCCGAUGUCGGAUUAGCUAGUUGGCGGGGUAAAGGCCCACCAAGGCGACGAUCCGUAGCUGGUCUGAGAGGAUGAUCAGCCACACUGGAACUGAGACACGGUCCAGACUCCUACGGGAGGCAGCAGUGGGGAAUAUUGGACAAUGGGCGCAAGCCUGAUCCAGCCAUACCGCGUGGGUGAAGAAGGCCUUCGGGUUGUAAAGCCCUUUUGUUGGGAAAGAAAAGCAGCAGGUUAAUACCCCGCUGUUCUGACGGUACCCAAAGAAUAAACACCGGCUAACUUCGU
rnacentral:rRNA from 1 species